UCACACAAAUCGUUUCUAUUUUCCCUCUUCCUUUCUCCUCCCUCACCGUCAUUGUUAUGCACCUUCCGAUCCGAUCAAUUUUCCGGUGCUACUCCGGCCGUCUCAUCUCAUUGAAUUGACAAAGAUGGAGACACGGAAGAAAGUUGUAUCGAUUCGUUUACUGAUUAGUGACGGCGAAAUGAAGAAAUUUGUACCGUUUCAUAAGUUUUAAUUUUAAUCAUUUUAUUUUUAUUUUUUUAUAAUAUAUUUUGUUUUUGUUUUUUUAAUUUUAAAUAAAAUUAUUUCAUGGAGGAGUCAGGGAUUGAUUCUUUCACCAGAGAAAGAUGUUAUCAAUUUUGCAAUUUCUCAAUCCAAGGAGAAAUGUGCAGAUAUAUAAGCUCGUUUUUAAGAAAGAGGUGCUAAGUUGGAACUUGGAACGUUAUAUGCCUGUAACUUAGAAUAAAGACUUGGAUCAUGCCAACCGAUAUCACUGUCGAAGCCUUUGAAGAAGAUAGCAGUGAGCAUGCCUCCUAAAGUAGAUGUCGAUUCGAAAAACAAGGAUUUUGAUAUUAGUGAAAGUUUCUACAUCUUCCCUUAAGGACAACAGGUCCAUUUCCAGAAAUUUUGGCCAGCCUUUGUCCCUUCGAAGCCUGUGAAGAUAGGUGAGCACACCUCCAAAGUAGAUGCUGACAUGAAAACAAGGAUUUUGAGAUUAGUGAAAGAUUCUACAUCUUCAUUUGAUUCUGAAAAAUUUAUCAAGGAGAAGAAAAGAAAUGUAAUAGCGAGAUAUACAGCUCGCAGAUGGGAUUGGACAAGACCAUUACCAUGGGAAAGGUGGAGGCUUCUAUAAAGGCAGUACGAACAGCCCUAAGAAUAUUGGAGGAUGGAGGUCUUAUACUUCUCGUAGAUGUCUUAUACUUGUCGCAAGCCAAUCCUUGGUCAGAGAAAUGUCAUCACUGCAUAAGGAAGAUUAGACUUAAACCAAAACACAGGGACAUCACUAGAGUACUGCAACAUCUUGUUUUCUCCUUACUAUAGCAACUACAAUCUCAGUCGUUACAUUGAUCUUCUGAAUAUAAUUUUUUUGGUAUA